rnacentral:rRNA from 1 species
AUUGCACGCUGGCGGCCGGCCUAACACAUGCCAGUCGAACGAGUGGCGGACGGGUUAGUAAUGUCUGGGAAACUGACAGAUGGAGGGGGAUAACUACUGGAAACGGUAGCUAAUAACGCAUACCAUCCGAUGUGCCACGAUGGGAUGAGCUUGUUGGUGGGGUAACGGCUCACAAGGGCGACGAUCCCUAGCUGGUCUGAGAGGAUGACGAGCCAAACGGGAACUGAGACACGGUCCAGAGUCCUACGGGAGGGAGCAGUGGGGAGUAUUGCACAGGGGGGGCAAGCUUGAUGCAGGCAUGCCGCGUGUAUGAAGAGGUCAAUCGGGUUGUAAAGGACGUUCGGCGGGGAGUGGUUACCCGUAGAAGAUGAACCGGGUGACGCCGUGCCAGCCGCCGCGGUAAUAC